GAGAGAGAGAGAGAGAGAAGAGGAAGAAGGAGAGAAAAUAGAGAAAGAAAUUGAGUACAGAGUGUUAACGCAUGAGGAGAGAGAAAGAGUGACAAAUUGGGAGGUGAGAGUAUUUUUGAUUAAUGAAAAUUCAACAUGACCUCGAGGUCACAAGUUCAAGCCACGGAAACAGCCUAUCUACGGAGUAAGGGUAAGGUUGCAUACAUCAACCCUCCCUAGAG
rnacentral:misc_RNA from 1 species